rnacentral:rRNA from 1 species
AUUGAACGCUGGCGGCAGGCUUAACACAUGCAAGUGGAGCGGGGGAAGGUAGCUUGCUACUGGACCUAGCGGCGGACGGGUGAGUAAUGCUUAGCGGAAUCUGCCUAUUAGUGGGGGACAACAUCUCGAAAGGGGUGCUAAUACGCCGCAUACGUCCUACGGGAGAAAGCAGGGGAUCUUCGGACCUUGCGCUAAUAGAUGGAGCCUAAGUCGGGAUUAGCUAGUUGGUGGGGUAAAGGCCUACCAAGGCGACGAUCUGUAGCGGGCGGUCUGAGAGGAUGAUCCGCCACACUGGGACUGAGACACGGCCCAGACUCCUACGGGAGGCAGCAGUGGGGAAUAUAUGGACAAUGGGCGGGAACCCUGAUCCAGCCAUGCCGCGUGUGUGAUAGAAGGCUUAUGGUUUGUAUAAGCACUUAUAAGCGAGCGAGGAGGUAACUCUAGUUAUACCUAGGGAUAGUGGACGUUACUCGCAGAAUAAGCACGGUACUCUGUGCACACGG